UACAUGGGGUGCAAACGUUGCUCGGAAUUAUUGGGCGUAAAGCGCGCGUAGGUGGUUACCUAAGUCGGAUGUGAAAGCCCUCGGCUUAACUGAGGAAGUGCACCCGAAACUGGGUAGCUAGAGUACUAAAGAGGGUCGCGGAAUUCCCGGUGUAGAGGUGAAAUUCGUAGAUAUCGGGAGGAACACCGGUGGCGAAGGCGGCGACCUGGGUAGAUACUGACACUGAGGCGCGAAAGCGUGGGGAGCAAACAGGG
rnacentral:rRNA from 1 species